rnacentral:rRNA from 1 species
CCUACGGGUGGCAGCAGUGAGGAAUAUUGGUCAAUGGGCGGAAGCCUGAACCAGCCAAGUCGCGUGGGGGAAUAAGGCCCUACGGGUCGUAAACCUCUUUUGCCGGGGAGCAAGGGCGGGGACGUGUCCCGGCCCGGAGAGUACCCGGAGAAAAAGCAUCGGCUAACUCCGUGCCAGCAGCCGCGGUAAUACGGAGGAAGCGAGCGUUAGCCGGAUUUAUUGGGUUUAAGGGGUGCGUAGGCGGGCGUUUAAGUCAGCGGUAAAAAUUCGGGGCUCAAGCCCGUCCGGCCGUUGAUACUGGGGGGCUUGAGUGGGCUAGAAGAGUGCGGAAUGCGUGGUGUAGCGGUGAAAUGCAUAGAUAUCACGCAGAACCCCGAUUGCGAAGGCAGCCUUCCGGCGCCCUACUGACGCUGAGGCACGAAAGUGCGGGGAUCGAACAGGAUUAGAUACCCGUGUAGUC